UUGUGGAGGAGGACGCCGAAGGUGGGGCUAAUGACUGGGGUGAAGUCGUAACAAGGUAGCCGUGCCGGAAGGUGCGGCUGGAUCACCUCCUAACAGGGAGACACAACUGAUUAUGAUGUUUGAAUGAUUUAAAUCAAGCCAUAAUCCUGUCACCUUAGGUCGAUCGGUACCUCAAUUUUAUAUUUGAAAAUAGUAUUUUAUCUAUUCAAAAUUAUGAAAUUCAGUUCCUAAACUUUGUCUAGGUCACACCCAGCAAGGUACUCCUGGGCCAUUAGCUCAGGUGGUUAGAGCGCACCCCUGAUAAGGGUGAGGUCCCUGGUUCAAGUCCAGGAUGGCCCAUUCGGUGUUGGGGGUAUAGCUCAGUUGGUAGAGCGCCUGCUUUGCAAGCAGGAUGUCAGCGGUUCGAGUCCGCUUACCUCCACUGACUGACCUUCUGAAAUCGGAGCUUGUGGAGACUUUUCUUCGAUGUGAUCUAGAAUUUGUUCCUGAAUAGUUUGAACCUAGCUUCUUAUCAUUCCAUCAGAAAUUAAUUUUUUUAGAUUUGGUUGAUAUGGCGCUGGGCUCUCUGCAAAUUAAUUUGCGAGAAGUUCAGUAGAACCUUGACAACUGCAUAGGUAAGUCUGGAAUAAAUAAAGCAUCUCAUGGAUGAAUUAUUUUCUUAAACAGAUUUCAAAGAUGUUUGAUUUAAUCAAAUCUUCUUUGAUUUGUUAGAGAUUAUAAUUUUGAUUCUUGAGUUAAGAGCAAUUCUUUAUAACGAACUUUUUUUGAAGUCAUCGUUAUAAAGGUUUAAUGGUCAAGCUACAA
rnacentral:misc_RNA from 1 species